UACGAAGGGGGCUAGCGUUGCUCGGAAUCACUGGGCGUAAAGGGUGCGUAGGCGGGUCUUUAAGUCAGGGGUGAAAUUCUGGAGCUCAACUCCAGAACUGCCUUUGAUACUGAAGAUCUUGAGUUCGGGAGAGGUGAGUGGAACUGCGAGUGUAGAGGUGAAAUUCGUAGAUAUUCGCAAGAACACCAGUGGCGAAGGCGGCUCACUGGCCCGAUACUGACGCUGAGGCGCGAAAGCUAGGGGAGCAAACGGG
rnacentral:rRNA from 1 species